UGGGUGUGCUUAGAGCAAGGGGCCUGAAAAAUGGCUCUCCUGUUUAUAACACACCCAACAGGAAUUUGGGUUCAUUGGGAUGAGGGGCACAAAGCUUGUGGCCUCCCUACAAACAAAUUCCCUACAUGU